rnacentral:lncRNA from 1 species
AUUGCCGAGGGUCAGAACUUCACCUCUUGCAGUUCAGGUAACUCUGGAUCCUGUGGUUUAAUUUUGACAAUCAAAAGGGGCCACACACACUCAUUACCUCAGUAUACAUUAGAGCAAAUACAAAGUAAUGAAAAGAAGUGAAUUACUGUAGUAUUCUGCUGUGAAGCUUGACAUUCUCUUUGCAAGAAAUCCAGAGCAGGGCUGGGUGUGGAGAGCUGGCUCUUGAUUAGGGACCCACCUCAGUGGGGUGACCCAAAGCUCCCUCAUCUAGCGCAGUGGCUCAGGGUAACCUACUGUCCUAGUUAUGUCUUUAUCCCGAGAAUUUCUGUGUCCUCCAGGUCCUCGCUGUGUGGUUGCUGCCACCACCCUGGCGGGCACAGCUACAACCCCAGUGGCUGUAAUCUGCACUGCACCAGUGACCCUUGGUGCCACCGUCCUUCUGGGACCCUCCCUGAGGCGUGGUCCCACCACCUCUGUGGACCGGUGAGUCUGAGCUCCUCAGUUGUCCAGGCAGGGAGGUGGUCACA